AAAACAUGUCUUUUUGAUUUAAUUUAAAGUCUAAUCUGCCCACUGAUUAUAAAUUAAAGGGCUGCAGUAAUUUGACUGUACAAAGGUAGCAUAAUCAUUAGUCUUUUAAUUGAAGACUUGUAUGAAUGAUUUGAUGAAAUAUAAACUGUCUCUAAUUUAUAAUUAAAAUUUAAUUUUUUAGUUAAAAAGCUAAAAUAUUUUUAAAAGACGAGAAGACCCUAUAGAGUUUUAUAAUUUAUGAUUUAAAAUAUUUAUAUAAAAUUUUAAUAUUAUAUUUUAAAAAUUAUUUUGUUGGGGUGAUAAAAAAAUAAAUAAAACUUUUUUUUUUAUUUAUCAAAAAUAAAUGAAUAAAUGAUCCAAAUUAAUGAUUAAAAGAAAAAAUUACCUUAGGGAUAACAGCGUAAUAUUUUUUUUUAGUACAAAUAAAAAAAAAAGUUUGCGACCUCGAUGUUGGAUUAAGAUAAAAUUUAAAUGCAAAAGUUUAAAAUUUUGAUCUGUUCGAUCAUUAAAAUCUUACAUGAUCU
rnacentral:rRNA from 1 species